UACAAGCCUGCCUGUUAGGAUGUUGGUCUGUUAAGUUCCUAUGUGCUGAAGGUACAUCUUUACCCUCAGCGCUGACAGUCACCUCUGAUUCUGGAAUCUGUCCUGGUAGGUUUUGUUUCUCCUACAACUGGGGGUGCCUCAAAAAAUGUUAAGGACAAGAAUCUAUCGAUCUCUGUGCCUGGAGCUGAAGUCCAGACAUGAAAUUAAAGCACAGGCACCCGACGUCACCCCACUUUUACCUCCCUCAUGGGCCUGUGUGAGGAGGCAAUGCUUUGUGUAGAUGCAACAUCCAAUGCCUGUUUCUUUCCGUCUGGGGUAGAUCCACAACACUUAUGAAGAUGGUUUAGACACAUCGUAUAGGAUGUAAAUAAAAACCUGUAGGAAUACUAGAAACAUCAUUUAAACAGGACGCCUGACACAGGAGGGAAAAGCAUCCACAGGGAGAUUUACAGAGAUGAAAGGGGAGAAUGCAGAGGCAGGCACUGCUCCCCCAGAACUCCUGGCAGGUGCAAGAGGUUUGAAGAAUGGAUCAUGCGUGAGAAGAUGGUAGCGGUGCUGUGGAAUAAGCCAUAAUCAUCACAAAACUGGGAGACAUGGUUUGACUAAGGGAGAAGGAGGGAAACACAGAGCAAGCGGCAACAGAUUUAAUAUGAAAGUCGGAUCCCUAUCACUGGGGACAACUGACAGUGCUAAGAUGGACAGAUGGAUGAUGGAUGGAUAGACAGAGCUGUACACUGCCUGGACUCCAGGUCUCCGGGAUCUAUCCCACCAGGGGUCCAGACACUUCUGAAACUCCACACACCCUCAAUGCAGACAGAAAACCAGCAAAGGGUGGCCACAAACUGCUAUGGAAUGACAUCUAACACUAGGACAGGUCUUUCAGCUGUAGAGCACCACCACCACCAAACAGGUCUAAAGAAGACAGAAUCCAUCCUUUGGAGAAAGUAAAUCUGCUUGAAACUAUAGGCCCAAGGAGAAGAAUAUGCCAGCUUCUCAGACCUCAGAGAAAGGGAUCCACAAUUUAAUUCUGUUGAGCAGAAAUGCAGGGGUGGCCAUGAGUUUAAAUCGAUCCCAACUACUUGGAACCUAAAAACAUAAGGUCUUCCAAGCAUCUUAUCAGAAUCUAAUAUGUUCCGGCGGGUAAACAUCUCUUCCCCAGAAGCUCUUACUUGCAGUUUGGUCCCCUCCCUCUUUUUUUCUACCAUAAAUACAGUUGGAUUGUGCAAUCCACAGCCAAAGCGAGCAGUGUCUUGUCUUGCAGAAAUCCUUUAUCAUCUGUUUUGUGUACGCGCCGAGCAGUGAUCAGGUGAUCCCAGAAGUUCACAGCUAAGAAGAAACAAGCAUAAAAAAAAGGCAUAGUACAGCAUGAAUUCUUUUGCGUUGGUGUUGAUCUGGCUGUCUCAAUCUCAGGCCUCCUUGCAUCUUCCUCACCCCUGGUGGACUCGAUGGGGUGGAUUCUAGCUGCUUAGUCUAUCUUAAGGCCCUUAGGGGAAUAGGUACCCAUCUCUUUGGCUGUGCCUCCACCUACCUCCUUGAGUGGCUGAACAAUCUCUCUGAACCCAGGAAAGAAAUGUUCACAGUGUACUCAGAUGAGACAGCUGCACAUUCCAUAAUCAAGCUUAGCCCCUUCACCUGUUUGGUUUUCCUCUCUGCUUAUGAGCUGCUGCUUAUCAACUCUGGUACCCAAGAGGGUCUCAUCUGACUCAGCGAACUGGGUACUCUAUAUCACUUAAAAAACAAAACAAAACAAAACAAAACAACAAAAACAUUCUCUUGAACUUUUUUUUAUGGCUUCCAAGUUUUUGAGCCCUGGAAAGUCUCUUUAGUACAGAUCUUUUUCUCAUAUCCUGCUUUAACAAACAGAAAGACAGCAUCCCCCCCCCCCAGCUCAUCCUCUCUUACACAAUGCACUUUGCCACUGUGCAGUCACCUCAGCCUAAAACACAUGUUUUAUUUCUUUCCUACACACAGCAGUGGACACCACCACAACCUCUAUGGCAGCCUGUGGACACUCUCAUUCCUAAUAUGUUGCUCUUACAAACUGAAAAUUUUAUUUUAAAUCAUAAGUUUAUCAGAACACCUCUGUACCCACAUACCAGAAUGCAUUCACCAAACUGGCAUGCCACUCUGUGAAGAAGACAGCAUCACCAGGAUUUCCCAUACACCACUCACCCAGACUUCCCACUGGAUAAAUGCUGCCUGUGCUCUGGACCCUACCUGCCCUUGUGGGGUUAGAGGUGAGUUGGUACAGAGUUAAUGACAUAGACUCUGGGAGUAUAGUGAGAAAUGCUACAGCAAGCUCAUCUGAGCACUGCUGCAAGCUCCUUUAACACCCUCCACGCGUGCCCCGUUGGUUCCAAGAAAGCAUCUCUUCUAAACAGCAGUUCCCAAUUGACUGGCAUUGUCUGCACCAGCAAUUCUUGGUUUCUCAGGCAGUCUUCAAUUAGGUCCUCCUGUGGGAGCUGCUUUUGCAGCUGUGUGGCCAGGCAUUUACAUAGAGAUAGCCAACACUGUUCCUCCUACAGAUAAGGAGUCAGCAUCUUUUCCAUGCCUCAAGACCCACUGCAGGGGCCAUGCAACCACUGACAUAGGAACAAGGCAAGUCUCUUAUAUCACAUCACCAUUUCAGGAUUUUACCCUCCUGGUGCCUAACCCUCAGUUCCCUUCCUUGAUACAUAUAGGCAGGACGAUGCAAUCAUUCCUCCCCAAUUCAUCUUGAAUUCUGCCAGGUCCCUGUUUGGGUGCCAACAGUUUUGUGACAGAUGUUUACUGGGGAGACACAGACACAUCUAUUCCCCCCAUCCAACAAAAAAGAAGCUCACAAGAGACCAAAGUAACAAUUGCAUCAGUGACCCACUUGGCGGACCAGUGGUUAUUUAUUUAUUUAUUUAUUUAUUUUGUGAUUACUGACAGCAUGGGUGAGAAGUUGCUUACAGGGUCAGCACACCAUUGUAACUGUGACUUCAAAGCCUUCACUCACGCACAGACCUUCCUGGUCCCCAGUGCUGGCGACAGUCUCCAUGUUCCCUGGGGUCUUCAUGUCUAUUUGCGUACAGGGAAAGACUCUGUCUUUUUAUCAGCCUAACUCCAAAUGAAGUAGGAUAUAAUAAGGCCCCCUUAGUGCAUAGCAUUCUCAGUUCUCCAUGAUAUAAGGCCCAGGUUCCUUAGAACAGGACAACAAGCAAGUCUUCUGUGACUAAGCUGUUGUGCCAACCCCCUACUCAUUUCUUGCCACUUAUUCCAAAGGCAUUCCAGAUUAUUAAUCUUUCUUCAAAGAUGCUGAGUAAUUGUGACCUUUCGAUUUUUCCUACUUCCGGUCCAUCUGCUUGAAAAGCUGCCCCAGCAGGCUGGGGAGCAGAACUGCAGAAGAAGCCUUACCUCUCUGGAGUAACCAAGAUGUCCCAAGCAACACUGAUGCCACAGCGUUGUGGCCCACAGAGCAGUGCACAAAGAAUCAUUAUAAGCUAAUCCUGAUGUGUCUUACCCGUGUGUGCCUGCGUUUUCCUCUACUGCUCCAUAGCAUGGACUUCACAUGCCCUAUGCAUAUCAUGCAUCUAAUCUUCAUAUCUGCACAAGCAAUUAUUGCAGACUUUCCAUAGGGGUUUUUGUCUUUUAAUGAUAAAAAUGGAUGGACACAAAAUUACUGAUUUGGAGAUGUUUAUUCAAAUAAUUACUGUGAAUAUAUAUUCUUAGAUUUCUUUCUUUUAUCACUAUAGCUACUACCUUUACAUUUUCCUCUAAAAUUUUUUCACAUAUGUUUUUUGGUUUACGGGGGUUGUUGUUGUUGUUGUUGCUGCUGCUGCUGUUGCUACUGCUGCUGCUGUUUUGGACAUGGUUUUGCUAUAUAAAUCAAGAGCAGCCUGAAAGUCAUGACCACCAUACCUAAUAUUAACCUUUUGUUACUCUAACUGUGCCAAACUACUGCAUUUUCACUAAACUUUUAAUAAAGUCCAUGAUGUAUGCAC
rnacentral:lncRNA from 1 species